AACGAACGCUGGCGGCAGGCUUAACACAUGCAAGUCGAGCGCCCCGCAAGGGGAGCGGCAGACGGGUGAGUAACGCGUGGGAAUCUACCGUGCCCUAAGGAAUAGCUCCGGGAAACUGGAAUUAAUACCUUAUACGCCCUUCGGGGGAAAGAUUUAUCGGGGUAUGAUGAGCCCGCGUUGGAUUAGCUCGUUGGUGGGGUAAAGGCCUACCAAGGCGACGAUCCAUAGCUGGUCUGAGAGGAUGAUCAGCCACAUUGGGACUGAGACACGGCCCAGACUCCUGCGGGAGGCAGCAGUGGUGAAUAUUGGACAAUGGGCGCAAGCCUUCUCCAGCCAUGCCGCGUGAGUGAUGAAGGCCUUAGGGUUGUAAAGCUCUUUCACCGGAGAAGAUAAUGACGGUAUCCGGAGAAGAAGCCCCGGCUAACUUCGUGCCAGCCGCCGCGGUAACAC
rnacentral:rRNA from 1 species